AGCCUUUAUUUUUGAUCCAACGAUAACGGUUUCCUUACCACAGUGGCAAAUAUUUUGUUUGCCUAGGUCACCAAGCCUUAAAAUCCCACUUAAGGGAAAUUCUAUGCAACUGAAUGAAACGGACAUUUACUUCAACCGGAAGAGCCGACAAGCAAUGGUGCCCGUAUCCCAAACCACUUGACGGGCGAAGACUGUGAACUAAAAUCAAUAUCGUCCUCGCAUAUCUUUUGCUAAAAAAAAAAAUAAAAAAAAAUUCUGGAGGUGAAAUGUUACAUUUGACACAAUUAUUUGUUACAUUCAAACUGCCUCCAUUAUUAUGUUGUGAUUUUCAGUUCCUCUAGCUCUUCCUCAUCUCUCGGAGGAAAGAAAUGUGGUUAAUGUGCGCCAGGGAAAUGACAGUGAGAAGAAAUACAAUAAAAACAGAAGCUGCUGGAGUAAUGCAGCCCUUGGAGAAGUACGGAGAAGCACAGGAAACCCAAAAGUGUCUUUUUGCAAUCCAUAAUCCAAUCCUUCUACUUUGAUUAUUAUCAAGAUAUUUCAGUAAUAAUUUUUCUCUACAAUAAACUUCACAUGUCUUUUACCGA